rnacentral:rRNA from 1 species
AACGAACGCUGGCGGCAUGCUUAACACAUGCAAGUCGAACGAGAACUUCGGGUCUUGUGGCGCACGGGUGCGUACCGAGUGGGAACCUGCACUUAGGUUCGGAAUCCCUCCCCGUAAGGGGUCCUCAUAAAGGUUAAUGUAUUAGGACCAAAGAUGUAUUGCUUUUGGAUGGGCCCGCGUUGGAUUAGCCAGUUGGUAGGGUAAAAGCCUAUCAAGGCGAGGAUCCAUAGCUGGUCUGUGAGGAUGAUCAGCCACGCUGGGGCUGAGACACGGCUCAGACUCGUACGGAGGGCAGCAGAAGAGAAUAUUGGACGAUGAACGAAAGCCUAAUCCAGCAGUGCCGCGGAUGUGAUGAAGGCGUUAGGGUUGUAAAUCUGUUUGACCCGAGGUGAUAAUGACAGUACCGGGAGAAGAAGCUCCGGCUAACUCCGUG